UACGAACCGUGCAGACGUUGUUCGGAAUCACUGGGCUUAAAGGGCGCGUAGGCGGGCAAGCAAGUCGAAGGUGAAAUCCCACGGCUCAACCGUGGAAGUGCCCCCGAUACUGCUUGUCUUGAGGGAGAUAGGGGCGUGCGGAACUUCCGGUGGAGCGGUGAAAUGCGUAGAUAUCGGAAGGAACACCGGUGGCGAAAGCGGCGCGCUGGAUCUCUUCUGACGCUGAGGCGCGAAAGCCAGGGGAGCAAACGGG
rnacentral:rRNA from 1 species